rnacentral:rRNA from 1 species
AUUGAACGCUGGCGGCAGGCCUAACACAUGCAAGUCGAACGAGUGGCGGACGGGUGAGUAAUGUGUGGGAAACUGCGUGAUGGAGGGGGAUAACUAGUGGAAACGGUAGAUAAUACCGCAUACCAGCAGAAGUGCACAGAUGGGAUUCGCUUGUUGGUGGGGUAAGGGCUCACCAAGGCGACGAUCCCUAGCUGGUCUGAGAGGAUGACGAGCCACACUGGAACUGAGACACGGUCCAGACUCCUACGUGAGGCAGCAGUGGGGAAUAUUGCACAAUGGGCGCAAGCCUGAUGCAGCCAUGCCGCGUGUAUGAAGAAGGCCUUCGGGUUGUAAAGUACUUUCAGCGGGGAGGCGUUACCCGCAGAAGAAGCACCGGCUAACUCCGUGCCAGCAGCCGCGGUAAUUC